AGGCGAGUAGCUCAAUUGGCCAGAGCACCGGUCUCCAAAACCGGCGGUUGCAGGUUCAACUCCUGCCUCGCCUG
rnacentral:tRNA from 1 species